rnacentral:rRNA from 1 species
UACGUAGGGUGCAAGCGUUGUCCGGAAUUAUUGGGCGUAAAGAGCUCGUAGGCGGCUUGGCAAGUCGGGUGUGAAACCUCCAGCUCAACCUGGAGACGCCACUCGAUACUGCCAUGGCUAGAGUCCGGUAGGGGACCACGGAAUUCCUGGUGUAGCGGUGAAAUGCGCAGAUAUCAGGAGGAACACCGGUGGCGAAGGCGGUGGUCUGGGCCGGCACUGACGCUGGAGGAGCGAAAGCGUGGGUAGCAAACAGG